UGCCAGCCGCCGCGGUAAUACGGAGGGCGCAAGCGUGACUCGGAAUCACUGGGCGUAAAGAGCGUGUAGGCGGGUUAAUAAGUUUGAAGUGAAAUCCAAUGGCUCAACCAUUGAACUGCUUUGAAAACUGUUAACCUAGAAUAUGGGAGAGGUAGAUGGAAUUUCUGGUGUAGGGGUAAAAUCCGUAGAGAUCAGAAGGAAUACCGAUUGCGAAGGCGAUCUAAUGGAACAUUAUUGAAGCUGAGACGAGAACGCGUGGGGAGCAAACAGGAGUAGAUC
rnacentral:rRNA from 1 species